rnacentral:rRNA from 1 species
UGAGUAACACGUAUCCAACCUGCCGUCUACUCUUGGACAGCCUUCUGAAAGGAAGAUUAAUACAAGAUAGCAUCAUGAGUUCACAUGUUCACAUGAUUAAAGGUAUUCCGGUAGACGAUGGGGAUGCGUUCCAUUAGAUAGUAGGCGGGGUAACGGCCCACCUAGUCUUCGAUGGAUAGGGGUUCUGAGAGGAAGGUCCCCCACAUUGGAACUGAGACACGGUCCAA